rnacentral:rRNA from 1 species
AUUGAACGCUGGCGGCAGGCCUAACACAUGCAAGUCGAACGGUAACAGGAAGCAGCUUGCUGCUUCGCUGACGAGUGGCGGACGGGUGAGUAAUGUCUGGGAAGCUGCCUGAUGGAGGGGGAUAACUACUGGAAACGGUAGCUAAUACCGCAUAAUGUCGCAAGACCAAAGAGGGGGACCUUCGGGCCUCUUGCCAUCGGAUGUGCCCAGAUGGGAUUAGCUUGUUGGUGGGGUAACGGCUCACCAAGGCGACGAUCCCUAGCUGGUCUGAGAGGAUGACCAGCCACACUGGGACUGAGACACGGUCCAGACUCCUACGGGAGGCAGCAGUGGGGAAUAUUGCACAAUGGGCGCAAGCCUGAUGCAGCCAUGCCGCGUGUAUGAAGAUGGCCUUCGGGUUGUAAAGUACUUUCAGCGGGGAGGAAGGGAGUAAAGUUAAUACCUUUGCUCAUUGACGUUACCCGCAGAAGAAGCACCCGCUAACUCCGUG